GCUAGAACUCCUACUGAUGAUCUAUUUUUCUGCAAUCCUAGUCACAACUCACCUCGAAUAUCUUGAUUGUGAGUGUUAAGAAAAUGUAUAGGAAUGAUUGGAGGUCAGGUGCUAUAUAUAGGGGACUCGGUAGUGGAGAUGACGAUUGGGGAUAAUGGGGGUUUUAGGCUUAGUCGUGGGAUUAGGGUUUUAAUGAUGGGGGAGUGGAUAUUUGAUCGUGGAGGAGUGGUACGUUAAUUUGGAAGAGAG
rnacentral:lncRNA from 1 species